AAAUUAUUUCAAUUUUCUUUUACAAUACUAUUAAACUAUCAUUAAAAUUAUUUUUUCAUUAUUAAUUACUAAAACAAUAAACUUUAUAAUUAUUUUUAAUAAUUUAAAUUUUUAAAAAAUAAAAUAAAUAAAUAAAAUAUAAUCAAUUUAUAUUGAUUUGCACAAAAAUCUUUUCAAUGUAAAUGAAAUGCUUUACUAAAUAAGCUUUAAAUUGCAUUCUAGAUACACUUUCCAGUACAUCUACUAUGUUACGACUUAUCUUACCUUAAUAGUAAGAGUGACGGGCGAUGUGUACAUAUUUUAGAGCUAAAAUCAAAUUAUUAAUCUUUAUAAUUUUACUAUCAAAUCCACCUUCAAUAAAAAUUUUCAAAUUUAUAUCCGUAUAAAUAAUUUUAUUGUAACCCAUUUCUACUUAAAUAUAAGCUACACCUUGAUCUGAUAUAUUUUAUUUUAAUAAAUUAUGAAAAUUAACAUUCUUAUAAAAUAUUCUAAUAACGACGGUAUAUAAACUGGUAACAAAUUUAAGUAAGGUCCAUCGUGGAUUAUCGAUUAUAGAACAGGUUCCUCUGAAUAGACUAAAAUACCGCCAAAUUUUUUAAGUUUCAAGAUCAUAAC
rnacentral:rRNA from 1 species